rnacentral:lncRNA from 1 species
GACUGUAAAACAACCCCUAGACUCCGAUCUAGGUAUGAACAUGAAAUAGAAGAUGAGAGGAAUGUUUUUAUAACGUCCGUUUGCCGUGAAACGGCCGGAGGUGUUCGGAAAGUGCGACGACACCGACGGCCUUGCCGGAGAUGGGUGUGCCUAUCCCGAGUCGAUUUCAUCCCAAAAACCUUGCAAAAAGACGAGAUAUAACUUCAAUUUCACAUCUAAGCUUCGAUCUAGAACAUAAAAAGAAAAACCCAAAGCUUACCUAACCGGAGAAAUAGAAGGAACUCGCCGGAGCAGGUGCGAUGGUGUGCAUGUGGGUUCGACGAGGAGG